AUUGAACGCUGGCGGCAUGCCUUACACAUGCAAGUCGAACGGCAGCACGGGGCAACCUGGUGGCGAGUGGCGAACGGGUGAGUAAUGCAUCGGAACGUGCCAUUGAGUGGGGGAUAACGUAGCGAAAGUUGCGCUAAUACCGCAUAUUCUGUGAGUAGGAAAGCAGGGGACCGCAAGGCCUUGCGCUCUUUGAGCGGCCGAUGUCAGAUUAGCUAGUUGGUGAGGUAAAGGCUUACCAAGGCGACGAUCUGUAGCGGGUCUGAGAGGAUGAUCCGCCACACUGGAACUGAGACACGGUCCAGACUCCUACGGGAGGCAGCAGUGGGAAUUUUGGACAAUGGGCGCAAGCCUGAUCCAGCCAUGCCGCGUGAGUGAAGAAGGCC
rnacentral:rRNA from 1 species